UACGUAGGGUGCAAGCGUUAUCCGGAAUUAUUGGGCGUAAAGAGCUCGUAGGCGGUCUGUUGCGUCGGCUGUGAAAACCCGGGGCUCAACCCCGGGCCUGCAGCCGAUACGGGCAGACUAGAGUUCGGCAGGGGAGACUGGAAUUCCUGGUGUAGCGGUGAAAUGCGCAGAUAUCAGGAGGAACACCGGUGGCGAAGGCGGGUCUCUGGGCCGAUAUUGACGCUGAGGAGCGAAAGCGUGGGGAGCGAACAGG
rnacentral:rRNA from 1 species